rnacentral:rRNA from 1 species
CCUACGGGCGGCUGCAGUAAGGAAUAUUGGUCAAUGGACGAAAGUCUGAACCAGCCAUGCCGCGUGGAGGAUGAAGGUCCUCUGGAUUGUAAACUUCUUUUAUAUGGGACGAAAAAAGGCCUUUCUAGGCCGUCUGACGGUACCAUAUGAAUAAGCACCGGCUAACUCCGUGCCAGCAGCCGCGGUAAUACGGAGGGUGCAAGCGUUAUCCGGAUUCACUGGGUUUAAGGGGGGCUGAGAAGGGAUGAGUGAAAUCUCCGAGCUGAACUUGGAAACUGCCAUUGAUACUAUUAAUCUUGAAUAGUGUGGAGGUUAGCGGAAUAUGUCAGGUAGCGGUGAAAUGCUUAGAUAUGACAUAGAACACCAAUUGCGAAGGCAGCUGGCUACACAUAUAUUGACACUGAGGCACGAAAGCGUGGGGAUCAAACAGGAUUAGAUACCCUUGUAGUC